CAAUUGCCUCGCCGGUUAUGACCAUUUAACAGUGAUGUGUUUAUGAUAUAUAUUUGAGACAUUAUAUGGCGGUUGCGGGUUUAUUCUCGUAGCUGUUUCUGUAUAGUGCUCCACUGUUUUAUGCAUAUAUAGUUUAUAGCCGGAGGCGUGCACUUCUCCCCUUGUAGGACGUCGUGACCCAUUGGAUUAUGUUGUCUAAGGCUUAUAAUGGAGACCGUGGCAUUAAGUUUCGGCUUUAAUGACCCGGACUUAUAAUGUCCCGACAUCUAUCCGAUGGUAUAAUUAUGAUGAUAGAUCGCUAUAAAUGUGAUAUGAGCGUUCAGAUCCAUAACAAAUUCUUUUUAUGGGAAAUAGUGGAAAUCGGAUUUAAUGCCGAUUCUACACAUAUAGUAUUGAUAGUUGUGGUAUUCUCGAACCGUUCUUUAUCAUCAGUCAACGGCGUUUAUGUUUUGGGUAAUUACAGGACCCGUCUUGAAACACGGACCAAGGAGUCUAGCAUGUGCGCAAGUCAUUGGGACUUUGUGAAACCUAAAGGCGUAAUGAAAGUGAAAUAUUUGUGAAUUUUCGUAAUUCACUGAAUUUAAGGGAAGAUGGGUAACGUUUUUUAUGUUACCUCGCAUUCCCGGGGCGUCGCGUACUUAUUGCAAGUUG
rnacentral:rRNA from 1 species